AUUGAACGCUGGCGGAAUGCUUUACACAUGCAAGUCGAACGGCAGCACGGGGCAACCUGGUGGCGAGUGGCGAACGGGUGAGUAAUACAUCGGAACGUGCCCAAUCGUGGGGGAUAACGUAGCGAAAGUUACGCUAAUACCGCAUACGAUCUACGGAUGAAAGCGGGGGAUCGCAAGACCUCGCGCGAGUGGAGCGGCCGAUGUCAGAUUAGGUAGUUGGUGGGGUAAAAGCUCACCAAGCCUGCGAUCUGUAGCUGGUCUGAGAGGACGACCAGCCACACUGGAACUGAGACACGGUCCAGACUCCUACGGGAGGCAGCAGUGGGGAAUUUUGGACAAUGGACGAAAGUCUGAUCCAGCAAUGCCGCGUGCAGGACGAAGGCCUUCGGUUGUAACUAGCUUUGUACAGAACGAAAAGUACUUUAAUAACACUAAGGCUCAUGACGGUACUGUAAGAAUAAGACACCGGCUAACUACGUGCCAGCAGCCGAC
rnacentral:rRNA from 1 species